rnacentral:lncRNA from 1 species
GUGAGACUACUACCACAAUCCUAUUCUGUUUCUCUGAACUGCAUCUGAAGCAGAUCUCCCGAAAUUUUUUAUGUUAAAUUGGGCUAACUAUUUGAAUUUGUCUUCGCAGGGAGAUUGGCCAUGUUGGCUUUCUUAGGAUUCAUCAUCCAGUACAAUGUCACUGGAGAAGGACCGUUUGACAACCUGCUGAAGCACCUUUCAGACCCAUGGCACAACACAAUCGUUCAAACAUUUGCGGGUAAAUAAACGAGUAUGAUGGAGCUUGUAACAAAUGAGUGAAUGGUUUUGAUUGGAGAUGGAACAAAUUUUAGAUCUU